GUUAAUUAUAUGUUUCUUUUUAAUUUUGUACUUUUUUUGUGAAUUAGGAUCAAUUUCAUAAGCAUCUGUUAUUGGAGGCAGAGAGAAAGCAGUUGAGGCCCAUCAUAGAGAACAAGUCACGGAUCAUACUUGUUCAUACAAGCUCAGGAUACAAGCAUAGUUUAAAAGAGGUUUGAAUGCCCCAAAUGUCAUGAGUAUGAUAAAAGAUACUAAAGCAGCUCAAAGGUCCAAGCUCUCAAGGAUUUCUUCGACAUGCUCUCAAAUGACGAGACCGGGCAUGCUAUGGACCUAAGCAUGUGGAGGUGGCCCAUGAUAGAAUGGCUGUCCAGACACUCCUUA